GCAGGAUUGGUGAAAUGGUUAUCACAUGACACUUCCAAUGUCAAAUUAACAGUUCGAUUCUGUUAUCCUGCU
rnacentral:tRNA from 1 species